rnacentral:rRNA from 1 species
CCUACGGGAGGCAGCAGUGGGGAAUUUUGGACAAUGGGCGCAAGCCUGAUCCAGCAAUGCCGCGUGCAGGAAGAAGGCCUUCGGGUUGUAAACUGCUUUUGUACGGAGCGAAAAGGCUCUCUCUAAUACAGGGGGUUCAUGACGGUACCGUAAGAAUAAGCACCGGCUAACUACGUGCCAGCAGCCGCGGUAAU